UACGGAGGGUGCAAGCGUUAUCCGGAUUCACUGGGGUUAAAGGGUGCGUAGGCGGACUAUUAAGUCAGUGGUGAAAGCCCCCAGCCUAACUGGGGAACUGCCAUUGAUACUGAUGGUCUUGAGUACAUUUGAGGUGGGCGGAAUGUGUCAUGUAGCGGUGAAAUGCUUAGAUAUGACACAGAACACCGAUUGCGAAGGCAGCUCACUAAACUGUAACUGACGCUGAGGCACGAAAGCGUGGGGAGCAAACAGG
rnacentral:rRNA from 1 species